rnacentral:rRNA from 1 species
GACGAACGCUGGCGGCGUGCUUAACACAUGCAAGUCGAACGAAGAGCGAUGGAAGCUUUCUUCUAUCAAUCUUAGUGGCGAACGGGUGAGUAACGCGUAAUCAACCUGCCCUUCAGAGGGGGACAACAGUUGGAAACGACUGCUCAUACCGCAUACGAUCUAAUCUCGGCAUCGGGGAUAGAUGAAAGGUGGCCUCUACAUGUAAGCUAUCACUGAAGGAGGGGAUUGCGUCUGAUUAGCUAGUUGGAGGGGUAACGGCCCACCAAGGCGAUGAUCAGUAGCCGGUCUGAGAGGAUGAACGGCCACAUUGGGACUGAGACACGGCCCAGACUCCUACGGGAGGCAGCAGUGGGGAAUCGUCCGCAAUGGACGAAAGUCUGACGGAGCAACGCCGCGUGAGUGAUGACGGCCUUCGGGUUGUAAAGCUCUGUUAAUCGGGACGAAAGGCCUUCUUGCGAAUAGUGAGAAGGAUUGACGGUACCGGAAUAGAAAGCCACGGCUAACUACGUG